rnacentral:rRNA from 1 species
GACGAACGCUGGCGGCGUGCCUAAUACAUGCAAGUUGAGCGCUGAAGGUUGGUACUUGUACCAACUGGAUGAGCAGCGAACGGGUGAGUAACGCGUGGGGAAUCUGCCUUUGAGCGGGGGACAACAUUUGGAAACGAAUGCUAAUACCGCAUAAAAACUUUAAACACAAGUUUUAAGUUUGAAAGAUGCAAUUGCAUCACUCAAAGAUGAUCCCGCGUUGUAUUAGCUAGUUGGUGAGGUAAAGGCUCACCAAGGCGAUGAUACAUAGCCGACCUGGGAAGGAGAUCGGCCACAUUGGGACUGGGACACGGCCCAAACUCCUACGGGAGGCAGCAGUAGGGAAACUUCGGAAAUGGAGGAAAGUCUGACCGAGCAACGCCGCGUGAGGGAAGAAGGUUUUCGGAUCGUAAAACUCUGUUGGUAGAGAAGAACGUUGGUGAGAGUGGAAAGCUCAUCAAGUGACGGUAACUACACAGAAAGGGACGGCUAACUACGUG